rnacentral:rRNA from 1 species
GAUGAACGCUGGCGGCGUGCCUAAUACAUGCAAGUCGAGCGAACAGACGAGGAGCUUGCUCCUCUGACGUUAUCGGCGGACGGGUGAGUAACACGUGGAUAACCUACCUAUAAGACUGGGAUAACUUCGGGAAACCGGAGCUAAUACCGGAUAAUAUAUUGAACCGCAUGGUUCAAUAGUGAAAUACGGUUUUGCUGUCACUUAUAGAUGGAUCCGCGCCGCAUUAGCUAGUUGGUAAGGUAACGGCUUACCAAGGCGACGAUGCGUAGCCGACCUGAGAGGGUGAUCGGCAACACUGGAACUGAGACACGGUCCAGACUCCUACGGGAGGCAGCAGUAGGGAAUCUUCCGCAAUGGGCGAAAGCCUGACGGAGCAACGCGGCGUGAGUGAUGAAGGUCUUCGGAUCGUAAAACUCUGUUAUUAGGGAAGAACAAAUGUGUAAGUAACUAUGCACGUCUUGACGGUACCUAAUCAGAAAGCCACGGCUAACUACGUG